rnacentral:rRNA from 1 species
GCUGGCGGCGUGCUUUACACAUGCAAGUCGAACGGAAAGGCCCUGCUUGCAGGGUACUCGAGUGGCGAACGGGUGAGUAACACGUGGGUGAUCUGCCCUGCACUUCGGGAUAAGCCUGGGAAACUGGGUCUAAUACCGGAUAGGAGCCAUUUUUAGUGUGAUGGUUGGAAAGUUUUUUCGGUGUAGGAUGAGCUCGCGGCCUAUCAGCUUGUUGGUGGGGUAAUGGCCUACCAAGGCGGCGACGGGUAGCCGGCCUGAGAGGGUGGACGGCCACAUUGGGACUGAGAUACGGCCCAGACUCCUACGGGAGGCAGCAGUGGGGAAUAUUGCACAAUGGGCGCAAGCCUGAUGCAGCGACGCCGCGUGGGGGAUGACGGCCUUCGGGUUGUAAACUCCUUUCGCUAGGGACGAAGCUUUUUGUGACGGUACCUAGAUAAGAAGCACCGGCUAACUACGUGCCAGCAGCCGCGGUAAUACGUAGGGUGCGAGCGUUGUCCGGAAUUACUGGGCGUAAAGGGCUCGUAGGUGGUUUGUCGCGUCGUCUGUGAAAUUCCGGGGCUUAACUCCGGGCGUGCAGGCGAUACGGGCAUAACUUGAGUACUGUAGGGGUAACUGGAAUUCCUGGUGUANCGGUGAAAUGCGCAAAUA